GCCCUGGGACGUCCGGGGGCCUGUGACCCGGAGGCGCUGGGGCUGUCCUGGGUCGUCACAUGCGAGAAAUCGUCUCACCCCAGCCAGUGUGACGGAGUGAGAGCAAAAGAAAGUUUUGAUAGCAGCGUACGAUUUAUAUUCAGCUGUAUGCUGGGCAGGUCCAACUUGGCAUUUCUUGGCUGUAUCUCUGAAGGAAAGUCAUCUUAAUCUCUAUGAGCCUCCAUUUCCUCAGCUGUAAAAUGGGAAGAUCUUCCUCACACUGCUGUGGUGAGUUCAGUGUGACAAUGUGAAUAUAAAAGCUUAUACGUGAGAAAGCAUGGCAGAAAA
ensembl:lncRNA SRP14-DT SRP14 divergent transcript